GGGCCCGUGGUCUAGUGGUUAAGACGCCACCCUUACAAGGUGGAGAUCCCGAGUUCGAGUCUCGGCGGGCCCA
rnacentral:tRNA from 1 species